GGCUGGUCCGAUGGCAGUGGGUUAUCAGAACUUAUUAACAUUAGUGUCACUAAAGUUGGUAUACCACCCCCCCACUGCUAAAUUUGACUGGCAUUAA
ensembl:misc_RNA Y_RNA Y RNA